rnacentral:lncRNA from 10 species
UGGACUCAUGGCUCACAGAAGUGUCUCCGAUCAAGAGGUGCCACACUUGAGGAGCAUCAUCUACCUCCAGACCUCAUGCAGAUAAUGAGAGGUGAGAUUUUGGGACUGAUGCUGGGAUUGGACUUUGGGGGUCUUUGGAGGGAGUGGGAGGGUUGUAAACUACUGCAGCCUGAGGGAGGACUGCAGUAGAACAUCUCUAAAGGUCACUACCACCAAUUCUUCCCAUUCCUGUAAUGCAUGUUACUCUUCCCAUCAAGAAGCCGAGUCUAUAUCUCUACCCUUGAUUCUCAGCUGGCCUUGAGACUUGCUUUGACCAACAGACUGCAGUGGAAGGAAGGUUCUGGAACUUUUGAGCCCAGACCUUAGGAGGCACUGUAACACCCAUUUUUACUCAAGAGGGAGCCCGCUGCCAUAUCAAGAGUCCAGGCUAUCUGUAUGGAGAAAGGUCACACGGAACUGAACUGAAGUCUCAGAUACAUGAG